UAUGGGCGCGAGCCUGAACCAGCCAAGUUAGCGUGAAGGAUGAAGGCUCUAUGGGUCGUAAACUUCUUUUAUAUGGGAAUAAAGUUUUCCACGUGUGGAAUUUUGUAUGUACCAUAUGAAUAAGGAUCGGCUAACUCCGUGCCAGCAGCCGCGGUAAUACGGAGGAUCCGAGCGUUAUCCGGAUUUAUUGGGUUUAAAGGGAGCGUAGGCGGGUUGUUAAGUCAGUUGUGAAAGUUUGCGGCUCAACCGUAAAAUUGCAGUUGAUACUGGCGACCUUGAGUGCAACAGAGGUAGGCGGAAUUCGUGGUGUAGCGGUGAAAUGCUUAGAUAUCACGAAGAACUCCGAUUGCGAAGGCAGCUUACUGGAUUGUAACUGACGCUGAUGCUCGAAAGUGUGGGUAUCAAACAGGAUUAGAUACCCUGGUAGUCCAAGGGCGAAUUC
rnacentral:rRNA from 1 species